rnacentral:rRNA from 1 species
UACAGAGGUCCCAAGCGUUGUUCGGAUUUACUGGGCGUAAAGGGCGCGCAGGCGGCUAUCCAAGUCAGGCGUGAAAGCCCCGGGCUUAACCUGGGAGGUGCGUCUGGGACUGGGUGGCUAGAGUUCGGGAGAGGAGAGUGGAAUUCCCAGUGUAGAGGUGAAAUUCGUAGAUAUUGGGAAGAACACCGGUGGCGAAGGCGGCUCUCUGGACCGUAACUGACGCUGAGGAGCGAAAGCGUGGGGAGCGAACAGG